rnacentral:rRNA from 1 species
ACCCCUACGGGGGCAGCAGUGGGGAAUAUUGCACAAUGGGGGAAACCCUGAUGCAGCGACGCCGCGUGAGUGAAGAAGUAUUUCGGUAUGUAAAGCUCUAUCAGCAGGGAAGAUAAUGACGGUACCUGACUAAGAAGCCCCGGCUAACUACGUGCCAGCAGCCGCGGUAAUACGUAGGGGGCAAGCGUUAUCCGGAUUUACUGGGUGUAAAGGGAGCGUAGACGGCAUAGCAAGUCUGAAGUGAAAGCCCAAGGCUCAACCAUGGGACUGCUUUGGAAACUGUUAAGCUAGAGUGCUGGAGAGGG